GGGAGCUUAGAUGUGGAAGCUCUUUGGAAACCAAGAAACACUCUGCAAAUGAAAAGGGAAGCAGAAGUUCUCCUUAGCUGAUUUUUCUUCUUGCCUUAUACUGGGUUCUUUAACACCAGAACAAAAAUAAAUAAAUAAAAGAAUCUUCCAGAAAUUCAUGAAGAGACUUCAGGUCAGGAAAGCCUGAACUUUCUCAUCCAACACCUGUUCAAGUCGGAGGAUGCUGAUUAAUUCAUGAUGGAAAGGUAUCAAUUUCACAGCCCAGACCUCUACAUUCUUGAAAUGCUCUUCUCAUGGGAGACAUUAAAUAAGCUUUGAAUUAACUGUCAGACGUUUGCUGAAUUCAGUUCUGAGCUUUUGAACCAAAAGCAGAUCUUCAGAACAAGAAACAAGAUAAUAAAAGAGAAACAUGAAGAAACUGAAGAUGAUUGGAGAAAUAUGAAUCAAGAUGAUUAGACCUAGCAGAGGGCUGGCUGGAUGGCAUUUAUGUUGACAGUGGACUCCUACACAGAGGAUGAUCAUGGUCUAGGACAUAAUAGUCAUUCAAUCAUCAUUUCUUAAAUGAUUUUUUAAAACAAGUGAAUGAAUGACCAAUUAUAUAUCUUCCCUGAGCCAAUAAAAUAUA
rnacentral:antisense_RNA from 1 species